rnacentral:rRNA from 1 species
UACGGGGGGGGCAAGCGUUGUUCGGAAUUACUGGGCGUAAAGGGCCAGUAGGCGGCCAACUAAGUCGGAUGUGAAAUCCCCAGGCUUAACCUGGGAACUGCAUCCGAUACUGGAUGGCUUGAAUUCGGGAGAGGGAUGCAGAAUUCCAGGUGUAGCGGUGAAAUGCGCAGAUAUCAGGAGGAACACCAAUGGCGAAGGCAGCUCGCUGGGACGGUACUGACGCUGAGACGCGAAAGCGUGGGGAGCAAACAGG